rnacentral:rRNA from 1 species
GUUGCCCCCGCUCACGAGCGUUUUGACGGGUGAGUAAUGCUUAGGAAUCUGCCCAGUAGUGGGGGACAACAGUCGGAAACGGCUGCUAAUAGCGCAUACGCCCUACGGGGGAAAGCAGGGGAUCUUCGGACCUUGCGCUAUUGGAUGAGCCUAAGUCGGAUUAGCUAGUUGGUGGGGUAAAGGCCUAACAAGGCGACGAUCCGUAGCUGGUCUGAGAGGAUGAUCAGACACAUCGGGACUGAGACACGGGCCGAACUCCUACGGGAGGCAGCAGUGGGGAAUAUUGGACAAUGGGGGCAACCCUGAUCCAACCAUGCCGCGUGUGUGAAGAAGGCGUUCGGGUUGUAAAGCACUUUCAGCGAGGAGGAA